AGAGUUUGAUCCUGGCUCAGAUUGAACGCUGGCGGAAUGCUUUACACAUGCAAGUCGAACGGCAGGCACGGGGCAACCUGGUGGCGAGUGGCGAACGGGUGAGUAAUACAUCGGAACGUGCCCAAUCGUGGGGGAUAACGUAGCGAAAGUUACGCUAAUACCGCAUACGAUCUACGGAUGAAAGCGGGGGAUCGCAAGACCUCGCGCGAAUGGAGCGGCCGAUGUCAGAUUAGGUAGUUGGUGGGGUAAAGGCUCACCAAGCCAACGAUCUGUAGCUGGUCUGAGAGGACGACCAGCCACACUGGAACUGAGACACGGUCCAGACUCCUACGGGAGGCAGCAGUGGGGAAUUUUGGACAAUGGGCGCAAGCCUGAUCCAGCCAUUCCGCGUGCAGGAUGAAGGCCUUCGGGUUGUAAACUGCUUUUGUACGGAACGAAAAGGUCCUGGUUAAUACCUGGGGCUCAUGACGGUACCGUAAGAAUAAGCACCGGCUAACUACGUG
rnacentral:rRNA from 1 species